AGGGAGUCCGGAGACGUCGG
rnacentral:snRNA from 1 species